rnacentral:rRNA from 1 species
UUAAGUGGAAAAGGAUGUGGAAUUGCACAGACAACCAGGAUGUUGGCUUAGAAGCAGCCACUCAUUAAAAGAGUGCGUAAUAGCUCACUGGUCGAGUGACUCUGCGCCGAAAAUUUAACGGGGCUAAACUAUACACCGAAGCUUGGGAUACAUCUAAUGUAUGGUAGGAGAGCGUUCUGUAUGGGGUGAAGUCGUAGCGAAAGCGGCGGUGGACUGUACAGAAGUGAGAAUGCCGGAAUAAGUAGCGAGAAUUAAGUGAGAAUCUUAAUGGCCGAAAGUCUAAGGUUUUUGGAGGAAGGUUCGUCCGCUCCAAGUAAGUCGGGAGCUAAGGUCAGGCCGAAAGGCGUAGCCGAUGCACAUACGGUUGAUAUUCCGUAACCAUCUGUAAUUUAAGCAAAGGGACACUUCAAAAGGGUGUGACCCGGGCGUUGGUUGACCCGGGCGUAAGGGACCGAAAUUAGAGUAGGGAAGCACACUUGGCUGAAGGCGAGAAAAGCUUUGCGUAUAGAAGCAGAUGCCCGUACCGCAAACCGACACAGGUGGACAGGAAGAGAAUUCUAAGGCCAGCGGGAGAAGGGUAGUUAAGGAACUCGGCAAAUUGACUCCGUAACUUCGGAAUAAGGAGUGCUCGAAAGAGCCGCAGAGAAUAGGCCCAGGCGACUGUUUAGCAAAAACACAGGUCUCUGCCAAAUCGAAAGAUGAAGUAUAGGGGCUGACACCUGCCCGGUGCCGGAAGGUUAAGAGGAGGAGUGAGAGCUCCGAAUUGAAGCCCCGGUAAACGGCGGCCGUAACUAUAACGGUCCUAAGGUAGCGAAAUUCCUUGUCGGGUAAGUUCCGACCCGCACGAAUGGUGUAACGAUCUGGGCACUGUCUCAACUACCCACCCGGCGAAAUUGUAGUACCGGUGAAGAUGCCGGUUACCUGCGGCAAGACGGAAAGACCCCAUGGAGCUUUACUGUAGCCUGAUAUUGGGUUUCGGAAAUCUAUGUACAGGAUAGGCGGGAGACUGGGAAACAUGAGCGUCAGCUUGUGUGGAGUCGAUGUUGGGAUACCGCCCUUAGGUUUCUGGAAUUCUAACCUGCGGCCGUGAAUCCGGUCGGGGGACAUUGUCAGGUGGGCAGUUUGACUGGGGCGGUCGCCUCCGAAAAGGUAACGGAGGCGCUCAAAGGUUAGCUCAGCACGGACGGAAACCGUGCCUCUGAGUGUAAACGCAAAAGCUAGCCUAACUGCGAGGGUGACGGCCCGAGCAGUAACGAAAGUUGGAGUUAGUGAUCCGGCGGUAUGUGAAUGGAAAUGCCGUCGCUCAACGGAUAAAAGCUACCCUGGGGAUAACAGGCUGAUCUCCCCCAAGAGUCCACAUCGACGGGGAGGUUUGGCACCUCGAUGUCGGCUCAUC